CAACUUUCUAUUGCCGUGGGAUUCCAACUCUGAUCGACUGAUCGCGCCGCACUGGCAAACCGCCGACUCAGUUACAGCGCUAGACGCCAAGAAGUGGAUAAUUUUUAAACCUUGGUCUACGAAUACAGACACCAUCAGUCGGGGUACAUCAGCGUCUCCGCAGAUUCGUUCUCUCCUUCCGUCAACUAAUCACACCGAGGGCUGUUCGAUCGAUGUUCACGACUUCUCUUGGCGGAGGUCUCAACGUUCUGCCAUGUCUCCUUGGAUCGUGCUUUGUCCCACGUCGGGCAAGGACUUUGAGGUGCAAGAUCUGCAGGCCAGAGGUACAGCUGCUUCGACAUCUUGUUAAAUACAGAACAGACGCAGGCAACCGAGUGGUCCCUGUCCUGUGCCUCAUUAUGUCCAUCGACGUGAAGUGGAGGGGAAGCAAUUAACUCUUCUGGUGGUAAAAAAAGGGAGAUAAUUUGCAACGGGUGAAAGCACGAGGUCAGUAGAUAACAAAAGUCCUUGUCUUGUCAUCGUCCUUGGCGACGGCCCCCAGGACGAGAAGUAAGAGAAGACUUGGGUGGUCGGGGAAAAGAGUUCUGUUCUCUGUUGUCUAGCUACAAUCCCUGUUCACAGAUCAGCCUAUGGACACGUGACUAAACUCAUAAUAAAUAACAAGGUAAUGAAGGUAACCUCCAGGUGUAACUUCUCUGUCGCUGCCAAAUGUCACUAGCGAACGUUUCAUUCCCCGUCACCAGCGUCAUGUGACAUUUGUAAUUGACCUUUCAAGUGACCUACGAGAAGCGGUCAGUGUGGCCACAUGACACAUGUCUACUGUACAAACAUAAUACAUUCAUACUUGACAUCCACGUAACGCGUCUGGGGACAGAAGAGAAAAAGAGCGACAGCAGUGGAAAUGUCGGAGGUCGUUGGUAUAAUCCCUCUACCUCCCUCGCACCAACCACGCAUUUGCCCCUAUACACACCAUCCCCCAGCCCCAUCCCUUCCC